UCGCUACUACCGAUUGAAUGGCUUAGUGAGCUUUCUGGACUGUUGCGUUUCGUUGGAAACUUCGUUACGCAUGCGGGAAGGAAAUCAAACUUGAUCAUUUAGAGGAAGUAA
rnacentral:rRNA from 1 species